UAAAAAAAUCCCCUAUCUCCUUCCGGAUAAGACAUUUUGCAUCUUUGCGGUUUUAACAAGUGCAUGUCACACAACCUGAGGCAGUCCCCACGGUCUCUUCACACAAAAAUAUGGUUUGUGCGGCAAUCAUGUCCUGCUUGUGCUGCUUCUGGCCGCCGGGAAUAUUUGACAUAGUGGCUGCAUGCAAGGCAGAAAAUGCAGCAGCGAGAGGAGAUGCUAUUGAAGUCACUGUUCAGUCAUGACUCUGUAGUAGUGGGACUGAUUUGUGUCGCGCUUUUUAUUAUAGAGACUUUUCUUCUCUAAAGCAUUUUAAUAAAUUAUUGAAUGAAACAAUCAGACACAUUAUCUUGUGAAACAUUACUGUUUUAAAAUUACUAAUGUAAUUUAAUUAAAUUGAACAUGCAAAAAGCAAAAAAUAUGUUUGGAUAUAAAUCCCUUAAAAUUGUAUUUUCUAUCAAACAAAUUUUUAGGUUUGUAAAAAUUUAUAAAAAGAAAUGUGUGAAAACUUGAGAUUUCUAUUUCUAUUCAAGGAAUUAAUGUUCGCCUGAAAUUGCGAGAAACACAUUUUACCUAUUUUUAAAUAUUGCUUAUUCUGUUCUUAAAACGAUGCAUUCUAUCCAGAGAUUUCCUCUGCAUAAAAAUGUGUGUAU